rnacentral:rRNA from 1 species
AGAGUUUGAUCCUGGCUCAGAACGAACGCUGGCGGCAGGCCUAACACAUGCAAGUCGAGCGCGCCCUUCGGGGUGAGCGGCGGACGGGUUAGUAACGCGUGGGAAUAUACCCGACACUAAGGAAUAGCCUCUGGAAACGGAGAGUAAUACCUUAUACGCCCUUCGGGGGAAAGAUUUAUCGGUGACGGAUUAGCCCGCGUUAGAUUAGAUAGUUGGUGGGGUAAUGGCCUACCAAGUCUACGAUCUAUAGCUGGUUUUAGAGGAUGAUCAGCAACACUGGGACUGAGACACGGCCCAGACUCCUACGGGAGGCAGCAGUGGGGAAUCUUGGACAAUGGGCGCAAGCCUGAUCCAGCCAUGCCGCGUGAGUGAUGAAGGCCUUAGGGUCGUAAAGCUCUUUCGCCAGAGAUGAUAAUGACAGUAUCUGGUAAAGAAACCCCGGCUAACUCCGUGCCAGCAGCCGCGGUAAUACGGAGGGGGUUAGCGUUGUUCGGAAUUACUGGGCGUAAAGCGCGCGUAGGCGGAUUAGUCAGUUAGAGGUGAAAUCCCGGGGCUCAACCCCGGAACUGCCUUUAAUACUGCUAGUCUUGAGUUCGAGAG